rnacentral:rRNA from 1 species
GACGAACGCUGGCGGCGUGCUUAACACAUGCAAGUCGAACGGAAAGGCCCUGCUUUUGUGGGGUGCUCGAGUGGCGAACGGGUGAGUAACACGUGAGUAACCUGCCCUUGACUUUGGGAUAACUUCAGGAAACUGGGGCUAAUACCGGAUAGGAGCUCCUGCUGCAUGGUGGGGGUUGGAAAGUUUCGGCGGUUGGGGAUGGACUCGCGGCUUAUCAGCUUGUUGGUGGGGUAGUGGCUUACCAAGGCUUUGACGGGUAGCCGGCCUGGGAGGGUGACCGGCCACAUUGGGACUAGGAUACGGCCCAGACUCCUACGGGAGGCAGCAGUGGGGAAUAUUGCACAAUGGGCGGAAGCCUGAUGCAGCAACGCCGCGUGCGGGAUGACGGCCUUCGGGUUGUAAACCGCUUUCGCCUGUGACGAAGCGUGAGUGACGGUAAUGGGUAAAGAAGCACCGGCUAACUACGUG